CAUUUUCAAAAAAUCUUGGGUAAACAAAUUUAUGAAGCCGAUAUAUGUCAAAUAGCCCAUCAAAGGUAGCCCUGAAUCGAGAGCCCGCCCACAAUCCGGCCAUAACCGAUGCUUUCCUAAGAAACAGUUCUCCUCCUACCUCUACCCUCCUUAAAAGCUUAAAUCCAUCAAAGAAAAAAGUGGGAAAAAUAGUAGUUGGGAAAAAUUUUUUUCAUGGAUGGCGAAAAGAUAAAAAGAGGAUCAGGGUUCCCAAAGUGGAUUGAAAAGGAAGAAACAGAAUGGCAGUUGACAGAUUUCCCAUCGAGUAUCAUCGUGGAGAUAUUCUUAAGGCUUCCUGUAAAGGCCAUUGGCAAAUGCAGAAACCGCAUAUGCGCCAACCGAGGACAUUGCAUUUAUCCCAGGUGGUAGAGGAUUCUGGCACUAACCGCUUCCGGUUUGAGAAGAAGAAUUUUGCAACACAAUUUGACUUACCGAACUAUGGCCGUGACCUUGUCAGUUCUUGCAAUGGGUUGGUUUGCCUAUCUGGGGUUCAAGAGGGAUCAAUCUAGGUAUGCUACCCAGUUUUAGGUGAUACCCAGUUUUAGGGCACAGGAUUUGACUAUUUGUGUUAACAAUCAUGUCCUUUAAUAAGUUGUGCAUAGAAGUAUGAAUUUGAAACAGGGUAAACAGGGUUGAAUUUACACCAAACAUUGUCAGUUCAUGCUUCCUAGAUCACCCCUUUGCAAAUUGUGCACCUAUUGAAUGACUGGCAUGACAUUUUGAUAUUAUCCAGGAAGAGAAGCAGUGGGAAGGAUGGCAACACCUGCUUUUGACAAUGUCUUCUGUAAACGUUAUUUUGUUGGUUGCAAUUUCACAAUCAUGGAAUGACAACCCUUCAGCCAAGUCAAGGACUCAAGGGAAGGGAACUUAGCAUCCUUUUAGCAAUUAGCUAUGGGCAGUUAAAGCUGUGAUAUCAAAGGGAACGUCUUGGAGAACAAACAGAGCAAUCCCAGUAUUACAUAAUUAAUAUUUGGAAAAAAAGAAAGGGAAAAAGAACAUAGCCACCCCAUUAUGAAGUUUCAUUUUUGAGAAAUCUUCUUUUACCCUAUUAAGUUUAUAUGAAGGGUUUUGUUGAUGUUUUGAUUUACCUUCAUUGGAGUAAGUAACACAGUUUCUGCGAAGACCAAAAGUGCAAAUAAAGUUAUAAUUACAUUGUUCUUUUGAUGUUAGUGGAAACUUUCGUUUUAAUUUUUAAAGCAGCUAUUAGAUGCUGCA